CCCUGCUCAGAUUGAACGCUGGCGGCAGGCCUAACACAUGCAAGUCGAGCGGUAGAGAGAAGCUUGCUUCUCUUGAGAGCGGCGGACGGGUGAGUAAUGCCUAGGAAUCUGCCUGGUAGUGGGGGAUAACGUUCGGAAACGGACGCUAAUACCGCAUACGUCCUACGGGAGAAAGCAGGGGACCUUCGGGCCUUGCGCUAUCAGAUGAGCCUAGGUCGGAUUAGCUAGUUGGUGAGGUAAUGGCUCACCAAGGCGACGAUCCGUAACUGGUCUGAGAGGAUGAUCAGUCACACUGGAACUGAGACACGGUCCAGACUCCUACGGGAGGCAGCAGUGGGGAAUAUUGGACAAUGGGCGAAAGCCUGAUCCAGCCAUGCCGCGUGUGUGAAGAAGGUCUUCGGAUUGUAAAGCACUUUAAGUUGGGAGGAAGGGUUGUAGAUUAAUACUCUGCAAUUUUGACGUUACCGACAGAAUAAGCACCGGCUAACU
rnacentral:rRNA from 1 species